rnacentral:rRNA from 1 species
GACGAACGCUGGCGGCGUGCUUAACACAUGCAAGUCGAGCGGUAAGGCCCUUUCGGGGGUACGACGAGCGGCGAACGGGUGAGUAACACGUGGGUGACCUGCCCUCAGUUCUGGGAGUAAGCCUGGGAAACCGGGUCUAAUACUGGAUAUGACCUCAUGACGCAUGUUGUGGGGUGGAAAGCCUUGUGCGACUGAGGAUGGGCCCGCGGCCUAUCAGCUUGUUGGUGGGGUGAUGGCCUACCAAGGCGACGACGGGUAGCCGGCCUGAGAGGGCGACCGGCCACACUGGGACUGAGACACGGCCCAGACUCCUACGGGAGGCAGCAGUGGGGAAUCUUGCGCAAUGGGCGAAAGCCUGACGCAGCGACGCCGCGUGAGGGAUGACGGCCU